AAGCAUUAUAUGAUGUGUUGGCGUCAAUAACCAAAUACUGGUAUGUUAUGGUAUUGGUGAGGUUUCCUUUGCCAAAGGUCGUUUGGAGGUUAAUGUAACCUCUAGCAGACACCCUCUCUAGUAAAGUAUAUUUAUUAAGCUACCUUGGUCAACUACAAUCUUUUUGAUAAUGAUGUUCUCUGCCUCCAACGUUAUCACCAUAGGGUCGUCUUGGUUUAAGUCUAUUCCUUGGAAAUCCGCAUUUGUGAACAUGAUGGACCACAUCCUUUUACGCUGAUUGUUCCAUGAUACCGUGUUCACUGAAUGUACUACCCUUAGAUGUUUCUUUCAGGCCUUCAUCGUCGCACCUUACAAAACACUUUAAGAGUCAAGGCGAACCAACUCUUUGAUUGUGUCCUUGAGGGUUGC
rnacentral:lncRNA from 1 species